UCGCCGCAUCAUCCUCCAGCGCCUUUCUUUUUCUCUCUCUCUCCCUCUCGGCGCCGCCUUUCCUUUUUCCUCGUUGGGAGGAGUCCAUCCCGUCGUUUGCUAGCAGUAGCUACACCCCCACACCGUAGCACCAGACACACGUCUCAUCCCUCGACACGCGCUGUCUGUGUGGUUGCUACGGACUAUUAGGGCGGGUGUUAAUUGUAAUAAACCAAUCGUCUUGCCCUCCUUACAUUCUACUGGCCUGAGUGGCCUCUGAUUGGCCUGGCCUGUCUCCUGGGCGGGAAGAGAAAGAAAAGGAAAAAAAAAAAAAAAAAAAAGAGACGCAGGCCAGCAGGCCAAUCCUAGACCGGCGCUCCGGGAAUACUCCCGGUUCUCCCUAUGGCCAGUCCGGGCCUGCCUCAGAUGCUGUGUGCCAUUAGGCGCCAGUGAGAAAGAGAGCUGAAACUUUAAACUUCUCUUUUCUUAUGCCGUCCUUUCGAGUGGGGUGCUCUGCUUUGUCCAGUCACUUCCUGCUUAUUCACCUGUUGUGACAUGUGCUAGCUACAAAUCUAAAGGUAAAAGGUUCAAGAUUAACAGGGCUUAAUUGUGCUCAUGAUCUUUCAAUCAGUCUAACUUAAUAUGCAUGUCUUUUGACUGUUGGAGGAAACUGGAGUACUCAGAGAGAACCCAUGGACUUGAACAAGCAGUGUUCUUGCUGUGAGGCUGUGAUGCUAAUCACCACACCACAGUGCAGCCCAACCUAUUGUCAUUGAUGUUCAGAUAGCUAGCCUUCGCAUCAAUCUCUCAAGCAGAAGUAUCGCGGGAAGAUGUCUCAAUGCCUCGCUUCACCGUAUGAAAAACCAUGUGAUUCUCCAAAUGAAUUAUUAUUCUCAACUGGAAAUUCUCAAUUAAUAUUAUUAAUUGGUGAUUUAUUAAAUAAACUCCAAUUUCAAUUCAUUUUCAUGACUGAAUUAUUUAACUGCUCAGUACUCUUUUCUUAUUAAGACAUUGUUAAUUAUGUAAAAAAGGAAUUAUAAUACAUAAUGCUGGUCUCUCUUGUGUCUCUUCUGGCAAAAAAAGUUAUAAACUUGGGUAGGCAGAAAAUUAUUAUUAUCCUAUUUUGUGUAUUAACUUUUACCAACAACCAGUAGGCUAUAAAUAAAAUGCACAACAAUUCUAUUGAGAGGAGAACAGGAAGUUUAUAAUAAAUUUAGCAUUAUAUGCAUUUCAAAACACAAAACAAAUGAAUAGAAACUUGUAAACAAUAAAACUGUGCACUGUAUACCAAGCCAUUUAAAUUUCUAACACUUACAAAUGUUGACUUUUUUACUUGUGAAUUACAUGUAGCCCUGGCAAUAUUAGGGCAAAGGGCAUCUGUUUCAGAUUAGAGUACGCCUUGUUACAUUACACGAGCCCUGUUUGUGCUGUAAUAUUAACACUGAAACUAACCUUGGGGCUGCACAGUGAUGUGGUGGGUAAUAGUGUCGCCUCACAACAAGUAAGUUCCUGGUUUGACUCUUGGAUGGGAUCUUCCUGUUCAGAGUUUGCAUGUUCUAUCUGUGUGUGUGUGUUCCUCUGGGUACACAGGCUUCCUUCCAAAAUCUAAAAAUUUGCAGAUGCAUGUCAGCUGGUGACUUAAUUGACUGAGUUUGAGUAUGUGUUGUCUUGUUUGACUGUGUUGGCCCUGUAUUGGACUAGUGACCUGUCCAGGGUGUACCAUGUCUCUUGCCUGGUAAAGGUUACAGCCCCCUUUGCAACCUUGAAUUGGAUUUAGUAAGUAUAAAAGAUGGGAUAGAGGGAUAUAGUGUGUGUGCAUGCAUGUAAAAGCUGAGGGUUUCUGUGUAAAAUGGGCAGAGAAAAAUGAGCAGAUAUGUACAUUUUCUAGUUGUUAACCAUAUUUUCUGACACCUGUAAUAAUCUUAGACUCAAAUAUGUUAAGCAAAUGUAACAAAACCAUUUAAACUUGAAUGAUCCAAGUUUUAUGUCUGUUUUGGAAAUUUGUGCAAUUACAUAAAAUUAAAAGAAAACUACAAACAGCAAUAUAACAGAAAUUUUUUUCAAGAUUUUAAACCAUUUUGUAGGUUCUGACAGCAUUAAAAUUCUAGUUCAGACUAAAAGUUGGGAGUAUAUCAUCCCAAGAAGACUACUGAUUUUUUUUUUUUUUUAACUCCACAGCCAAACAGACAGUGUUCCCUUCAGAGCAUUGG